rnacentral:lncRNA from 1 species
AUCUUUCCAUUCUGAUAUUGCUACCUCAAAAUUAAAUAAUUAUCUCUCUUUUAUGAUCAGCCCGGAAUAGGGAAAAAAAAAAGAAAAAGAAAAAAAGAAAAAAACAAGAAGGCAAAAAAAAACUUAUAACCAGUGUAUAUUUUAGGCCCAGUAAUUUAGCUAAAAUGGAAAGUCCGGUAAUUUAUCCAAAAUUGCACAAAGAGAAAACAAUGUGUAAGGAGUACCGUAGUGAGCCUUACUCAGGCCCGUUAAGGGCCAUUUUAUUUAUACAGCAUUACCAUCAAAGUUUUUGAUGAAUCUUUCAAGCCGAAGCCCAAUUUCACCUAGGGCAUUUCAAGUUGAAAAUAAAUACGAACUUCGGCUUCAGUAUAUAAUAAACUUUAUGUCACAUCUAUGGCACGGAUUUUAUCCUGAUUCAUCGAUCUCGUGCAACCCGCUUUUUCAUUUAUUUUAUUUAUAAAUAAAUUUAGCUAAAAAUAUAAAUCAAUUAGAAUUCGGACUUAAAAUUUUAAAUAUCAAUCACCAAGUCCUUUGACACUUACGUUAGAAAUAUUUUACUGCUUAAAAUAUUAGGUUAUAUACAAUAUAAUUAUGCUGUACUCCUGUCAGGAUGGUGCUUCCUUAAUAUUUAAUAUCAAACCUUCUCAAUAAAGUUGGGCAAUAUGCAACUUAAUUAUAUCAUAUUCCUAUCGGCUUUCAAUAUAUGCAUCCUACCAACCUAGUCAUUUUCAAACUAGAAAAGGACCGGACUUUACAUGAAAAAUAAUAUACGCGUCUAAUU